GGUCUUGUGGUCUAGUGGUAUGAUUCUCGCUUAGGGUUAACCCUAAGUAGUUUGCGAGAGGCCCCGCGUUCGAGUCGCGGCAAGACCC